UACGGAGGGUGCAAGCGUUAUCCGGAUUCACUGGGUUUAAAGGGUGCGUAGGCGGGCAGGUAAGUCCGUGGUGAAAUCCUAUAGCUUAACUAUAGAACUGCCAUGGAUACUAUUUGUCUUGAAUAUCGUAGAGGUAAGCGGAAUAAGUCAUGUAGCGGUGAAAUGCUUAGAUAUGACUUAGAACACCAAUUGCGAAGGCAGCUUACUAUGCGAUUAUUGACGCUGAGGCACGAAAGCGUGGGUAGCAAACAGG
rnacentral:rRNA from 1 species